rnacentral:rRNA from 1 species
AUUGAACGCUGGCGGGAGGCCUAACACAUGCAAGUCGAGCGAGCGGCGGAUGGGUGAGGAAUGUCUGGGAAACUGCUAGCUGGAGGGGGCUAACCACAGGAAACGCUAGUUACUCCCGCAUACCAUCAGAUGUGCCCAGAUGGGAUUAGCUAGUGGGGGGGGUACCGGCUCACCCAGGGGACGAUCCCUAGCUGGUCUGAGAGGACGACCAGCCACACUGGAACUGAGACACGGUCCAGACUCCUACGGGAGGCAGCAGUGGGGAAUAUUGCACAAUGGACGCAAGCCUGAUGCAGCCAUGCCGCGUGAGUGAAGAAGGCUUUCGGGUGGUAAAGCACUGUCAGCGGGGAGGCGUUACCCGAAGAAGAAGCACCGGCUAACUCCGUGCCAGCAGCCGCGGUAAUAC